rnacentral:lncRNA from 10 species
ACAAACAGGGGUGCUGCGCCUGCGCGUCCCCGGCGGCAGCGGGCUGUCCUCUAAGCGCCUGUCUUCCGGCUCCUCUGCAUGCUGGGAUACGGAGUCCUUGGUUGCAGCCGGGGAAGAGUUGAACAGGGUUCUGGCUAGAACUACAAGUCCCAGGAGGCCAUGAGCACGGACCGGUCCCGUUGUGGUGAGCGCGGGGUGUGCUGGGAGUUGUAGUUCUCAGGGACCGUUUCCGUCGGUUCUCAGGAGGUGGGAAGGGAUGAAUUAGCAUCUCUAACCCCUGAAAGCGGCGGUGAGGGUUCGGGAAGCAACACAGCUCUAGCCCCCACACUUGCUGAAUUCCCUAGGAAGAGUAGCUCUAUUUGUGCGUGUACCUCUGAGCGAGUGUGUCCUUGUUGGCUGGCGUGUGGGUAGGUGUCACUGUGUGAGAAACAGAACCUCCGUGGUCUGGUGAAUGGGACCUGACCCAGGCUGGAACCCUUGCUCUGCCUCGGAGGCUGUGUGGCAUUGGUUGGUUAAGUUCCUGAACCUUUUUGAAACUCAGUUUCAUGGGCCAUAAAAUGUAGCUGAUGACAUGAUCUUCCUGUCCUAAUAAUCAAAGGGGAAAGGGGUGUAAAAUGCCAGUCCACCCUGGGUGCUCAGCGAGUGCUGCACAUGUUGCCUUUUUUUGUUUGUUUUCUCCCACUUGGAAAAGUUUUUUGUUUGUUAUUUCACGUUGCCCUUUUUCCAAGUGAGGUGGACCUGGAGCACGAACCUAGGGCUCCCUCCCGCAUAGGGACGAGGCUGGGCAGCCCUCAGUGACCCUCCUCCCCACCAGGGACUUCUGAUAACUGCGGAGGAUGAGAGGUCUCUCUACAAGCCAGGUCUCUCCACAAGCCUGGGCUAGGCCUGUUCUGGUCCCACUUCACGCCACAGUGACUUCUGACAGGUUGUGUUCUGUGUCUUUUUUUUUUUUUUGUAUAUGGAGUUACUUUUAAAAAACUGUACAUAUAGGCUGGGCACGGUGGCUCACGCCUGUAAUCCCAGCACUUUGGGAGGCUGAGGCGGGCAGAUCACCUGAGGUCGGGAGUUUGAGACCAGCCUGACCAACAUGGAUAAACCUCAUCUCUACUAAAAAUACAAAAUUAGCCAGGUGUGGUGGCACAUGCCUGUAAUCCCAUCUACUCGGGAUGCUGAGGCAGGAGAAUCGCUUGAACCCGGGAGGCGGAGGUUGCGGUGAGCCAAGAUCAUGCCAUUGCACUACAGCCUGGGCAACAAGAGCGAAACUUUGUCUCAAAACAAAACAAAAAGCUGUCCAUAUAAUUAAAAUAAUUCUAUGACAAAGUGCUUUUAUAAAACACAGGAUCCCUUCCUUUCAGCCACUGAUUUCAGUGUGUGCUGAUGUGUGCAUGGCCUACAGGUUAAAAAGGGUGCUGAUGCUUUUUUUCUGGGGUCUGGGUUCCCACUGGUUGCCACAUCUGGGUAAGGUUGCCAGUUUUAGCAAAUCAAAAUAAGGAUGCUCAGUCAAAUUUGAAUUCCAGAUAAACAAUGAGUAAUCUUCGAGUAUAAUCAUGUCCCCCUGCCCCCUUUUUUUUUUUUUUUUUUUUUUGAGACAGGGUCUAGCUUUGUCCAAGGCUGGAGUGCAGUGGCACAAUCAUAGCUCACUGCCACCUCUAACUCCUGGGCUGAAGGGAUCCUCCAGCCUCAGCCUCCUGAUUAGCUGCGACUACAGGCACACACUACUGUGCCCAGCUAAUUUUUAAAAUUUUUUUAUUUUGUAGAGACAUGGGCAGGGGCGGGGUGGCCAUCCUACCCAGGCUGAUCUCGAACUCGUGAGCUCAAGCGAUCCUCCUGCAUCAGCCUCCCAAAGUGUUGGGAUUACAGGCGUUAGCCACUGUGCCCAGCCCCCAGUUUUUCAGUAUAGGUAUGUCCCACACAAUAGUUGAAACACUUCCAUACUAAAAACUCGUUCAUGAUCUGAAAUUCAAAAUAGGGUGUUCUGUAUUUUAUCUUACAACCCUAUCCAAGAUUGCACGGUCUCUUGCAGGCCAUGGGAGCUGUCUUGGGGGUUGUGGAUUAGGCAUUGCUCUGCAGCCGAACCCUGCAGAGGAGACAGAAAAAGUCUCCAUCUUGGCUGAGGCCUCGAAGCCCCUUCAUCUAUUUAGCAUCCAAGCUCCCCAACCCUUGGUGGCCACCUCUUCUCUAAAAUCUUUGCUGGUUUUUAGCCUUCUCACCUGGGGGGAAAGGCUUUCUCCUCUUAGUUUGCUCAUCUGUGGUAUGGGGAUACACUAGUACCCACCCCAGAGACUGUGGCGAGGACUCAGCCAGGUCAGUGCGCAGAGAGCAGAGUGUUGGGAGGAGAGAGAGGACUGUGGUGGGAAGGCAGGGACACCUGUGCUCUGGUGGUUACAGGUUAUAAUUCUCUCCACAUGAGAAGAUCGCAAAGGUCACACCUUCUAGGGUGAAAAUGAACUAGGGCCUAAGCUUGAGAGGAUUCACAAAAAUGAAGUUUGGCCUAUGGCUCCAGUUUAAGCAGCUGCGGCCUCAAGCUCCUGUGGGCCAGGAGGGAGCCGUUGCUGCACUUGUGGUCAGGGCUUCCUGGGCCGUAGGGACACUGGCCAGGUGCUCACUCAUAGCUCCCGGCAGAGGCCCUGUCAGGCCCUGGUGGUCUGACCAGACUGCCAGAUCCACCUCCCCACUAAACCAGCAUCUCUGAUCUGUCUUCUUCCCUCCAGGGUCCUGGCUUUCAGGCUCUGGGAGGGUGUUUGUUUUGCUUGUAUUUUUUUUUUUUCUGAGACAAGAGUCUCGCUCGGUCAUCCAGGCUGGGGUGCGGUGGCGCAAUCUUGGCUCACUGCAACCUCCGUCUCCUGGGGUCAAGCAAUUAUCCUGCCUCAGCCUCCUAAGUAGCUGGGAUUACAGGCGCAUGCCACCAUGCCUGGCUAAUUUUUUUGUAUUUUUAGUAGAGACGGGGUUUCACCAUGUUGGCCAGGCUGGUCUCAAACUCCUGACCUCAAGUGAUCUGCCCGCCUCGGCCUCCCAAAAUGCUAGAUUACAGGCAUGAGCCACCGCACCCAGCCUGUCUUGCUUGUUUUUAAAAGACAGCUUUUUGAGAUGUUAUGAGACAAUGUAUGUCAAGGGCCUGGCACCUAUUAUAACUGGUGGAAGCAAGUGCCAUGCCCUGUGGUUGACAGGGACCUGGGCUACCAUGGUCUUCACCCCCUGCAGAGCACUAAGUGGGACUCUGAGGUCUUGGCCAACUGUCUUCAUAGCUACCCAGUCCUCACCCCCAAGCUGAUACAGUGGAUGGGAACCAU